rnacentral:rRNA from 1 species
UGGAAACGGGGUCUAAUACCGGAUAUGACUGUCCGCCGCAUGGUGGAUGGUGUAAAGCUCCGGCGGUGCAGGAUGAGCCCGCGGCCUAUCAGCUUGUUGGUGAGGUAGUGGCUCACCAAGGCGACGACGGGUAGCCGGCCUGAGAGGGCGACCGGCCACACUGGGACUGAGACACGGCCCAGACUCCUACGGGAGGCAGCAGUGGGGAAUAUUGCACAAUGGGCGAAAGCCUGAUGCAGCGACGCCGCGUGAGGGAUGACGGCCUUCGGGUUGUAAACCUCUUUCAGCAGGGAAGAAGCGAGAGUGACGGUACCUGCAGAAGAAGCGCCGGCUAACUACGUGCCAGCAGCCGCGGUAAUACGUAGGGCGCAAGCGUUGUCCGGAAUUAUUGGGCGUAAAGAGCUCGUAGGCGGCUUGUCGCGUCGGUUGUGAAAGCCCGGGGCUUAACCCCGGGUCUGCAGUCGAUACGGGCAGGCUAGAGUUCGGUAGGGGAGAUCGGAAUUCCUGGUGAUCUUU